UCUCUAAAUUUCCUGGGUCUCUGGGAAUGUAUUUGACUCAAAUACGAGAUGGGACCAGGAGUUUUGAGGAGCGUAGUGUGGACAUGAGAAACAUGAGUUACUUAUAACAAUAGAAAUGUUGUGGAUUAUUAGAAGAUGUAGUGUUAAGCAACUUGAUGACCUGACAACUGAAUAGAAGUUGGCUAAAACAUGUGAUAAUCUUUCACUGUAAUGUACUUGCAUGUUAACAAUGAUUGAUGUAGCUCAGGUCCUUAAUUCCCUUGGAUCCAAAUGUGUUUUCUAAAGCUGUGUCUUACCUUUGGGAACGCCUGAAAUGCCCAUCUCUCUCCGACUUCUGCUGACCGGCUCUGCGUUAUGAGCAGCUCUUUUUCCCGGCUCAAGGAAACCAUAAAAAC